rnacentral:rRNA from 1 species
GAAUCUGCCUAUUAGUGGGGGGCAACAUUCCGAAAGGAAUGCUAAUACCGCAUACGUCCUACGGGAGAAAGCAGGGGACCUUCGGGCCUUGCGCUAAUAGAUGAGCCUAAGUCGGAUUAGCUAGUUGGUGGGGUAAAGGCCUACCAAGGCGACGAUCUGUAGCGGGUCUGAGAGGAUGAUCCGCCACACUGGGACUGAGACACGGCCCAGACUCCUACGGGAGGCAGCAGUGGGGAAUAUUGGACAAUGGGGGGAACCCUGAUCCAGCCAUGCCGCGUGUGUGAAGAAGGCCUUAUGGUUGUAAAGCACCUUAAGCGAGGAGGAGGCUACUAGUAUUAAUACUACUGGAUAGUGGACGUUACUCGCAGAAUAAGCACCGGCUAACUCUGUGCCAGCAGCCGCGGUAAUACAGAGGGUGCGAGCGUUAAUCGGAUUUACUGGGCGUAAAGCGUGCGUAGGCGGCCAUUUAAGUCAAAUGUGAAAUCCCCGAGCUUAACUUGGGAAUUGCAUUCGAUACUGGAUGGCUAGAGUAUGGGAGAGGAUGGUAGAAUUCCAGGUGUAGCGGUGAAAUGCGUAGAGAUCUGGAGGAAUACCGAUGGCGAAGGCAGCCAUCUGGCCUAAUACUGACGCUGAGGUACGAAAGCAUGGGGAGCAAACAGGAUUAGAUACCCUGGUAGUCCAUGCCGUAAACGAUGUCUACUA